CCAGCACAAAGGAAGAAGACUCUCUCUCAAGCAGCCCUCCACAGUUUUUCCCUUCACUUUCAGUUUGGACUUGUUGAAGACACCUUCUUUUGUGUUCCAAUGAGAUUUUGACCUCCUCCUCCUCCUCAGACGUUCUGGAUGACUUGGCAGAACUUGCCCAGGUCACGGUGACUUUCAAGGCAUGGACACGAUGUAAACAUUGGAAGAUAAGACUGAGGGGAAGAAGAAAGAAGAGGAGGAGGAAACAAAGUCUACUUGUUAUUUUUAGAGAUAGACACAGGAUGAUCCCACCAGCCAACACUCAGGCUCAGGAUGAAAGUGGGGGGAAAGAGGAAGAGCGGGACCAGAAUGAGACUCCCAAAUCUCCAACCAGCACCACCAACCAGGAGACCAAGACUGUGAGGCCCGAACACCCCAAACGGAAGCUACAGAAGCUCAAGCGCUCUUUGUCCUUCAAGACCAAGAGCAUCCGCAGCAAGAGCGCCGACAACUUCUUCCGGAGCAGUGGCGAAAACAAGACCGAGCUGCUCUCCGACGUGAGCAGCAGCACGGGCCACCUCUACAACAUCGGGAUGGCGCCGCCGCACACCACCAGUCUGCCCAUCCCGCCUGUGCCUCCCGCCAUCCCCUGCGCUCCUCCUCCCACGUCACGCUCACAGACGCGCAACCCUCUGCAGGUGGACUCGGCCGGGCACUGCUUCAUGGAGCACAUCUUCAAGAAGCCCACCUUCUGUGACGUCUGCAAUCACAUGAUCGUAGGUACCACAGCCAAGCACGUGGUGUUCCUGGCGGGCAACACGGCGAAGCACGGCCUGCGCUGCAAAGCCUGCAAGAUGAGCCUCCACCACAAAUGUGAGAACGGCGUGGGACAGCAGCGCUGCAUGGGCAAACUGCCAAAAGGAUUUAGGCGCUACUACAGCUCCCCAUUACUGAUCCAGGAACAGUACGGCUGCAUCAAAGAAGUCAUGCCCAUUGCUUGUGGCAAUAAGGUGGACCCCGUCUAUGAAGCCCUGAGGUUCGGGACGUCGUUGGCUCAGAAGGCCAAGAGGGCCAGUGGCUCGGACUCUCCCCAAAGAAAUUCAACCAGUGACUUGGAUAAUGUUCCAGAGGAAGCGGUGGCUCACAGCAGCAGACAGGAGCUGUCAAGAAAGCACAGUGAUGAUGUUUUCACGGUUAUGGAGAACGGGGCAGAGCAUUACCACCAACCUGAGAGAACGUCCCACAACUCUGAGCUGGAGGAGAGCCAGCUUCACAAAAAUGCACUCAAGCUCAACACCUACGUGGCCUUGUACAGCUUCACUCCUCAAGAGAGCCAUGACCUGGAGAUGAGGUCAGGCCAUGGGGGCAGCAGCCUUCCCUCUCCCCGGCGACUUCGUCCAGCUCGUCCCGGUGGAUCCCGGGGCGUUCUCAGGCCAGUUGAGAGACCCAGUCUCUCCAACGUACCCUGAGUUUUCCCUAAGGCCUCCUACCGGUCAGAUGUGCCCUGAACACCUCCCCGGAGAAGCGUCCGGGAGGCAUCCUGACCAGAUGCCGGAGCCGCCUCAUCCGGCUCCUCUCAAUGCGGAGCUAUCACAUAUUUAUAAAUUAUUAUCAGUGAAUGAGAUGAGCUUCCCAUGGAACAAAUGGCCCAUUUUUAGAAAAAAAAAAUUAUUAAAACAUGCUUUUUCGCCCAAAAUCUGUGGGCUGUGGAUGCUGAACUGCAAAUGUGCAGGGAUCCACUGCAUAGACCGACAAUGGUGGAGAAUAAUUCCGAUUACCGUCACUUUAUUUUUCCCGUCCGAUUUUAUUGAAAUAUAGCCUUCAUUUUCAAAGUGCAUGCAUGUUGCCUGCCUCUAUUAAAACUAGUCUCAGCCACAUCUACUUUAUUAUCGCCACUCCGACAAACGAAGAAUAAUUAUGAUUGAUGAGUAAUAAUUUGCGACAUACUUUGGAGCAGGCUCUGAAGACAGGAAGUAGUAGUCAUCAUGUGCGGUCCUUCAGCUCAAGCACCCAUUUGUUCUCCAAAUUACUCUGAGGAUUUAAGGAUAAGAGAGCACACUCUGAAACUUACCAAGUCUUCCCCUUUGAUGAAAAAUAUGCAAUUUCUUCCUCCGUUAGUCCAUGUUUUGCUCUUCCAUCUUCCUGCUUUAAUCAGCACACAAAAAAGAAGAAAAUCUUCACCAAAUGAUUGAAUUUUACUUUGAAGUGAGGAAAACAGGUUUGAGAAUACUUCCAGUUUGGCAUGCCCUGUUUACAUGAUGGGGAUUAUGGUGAUAAUAAGUACUGCAGUUUUUUUCUUUCUUUUUUAGAGCCCUCUGUUGUAUUCACUUGCUGCCCGUUUUCUCACUUUUUUGCAGCACGGGAGAAGAUCUUUUUAGAUGUGGAAAUGUUGUGUGUUUCAUCAGAGUUGAACAGUGUUUUCUGAGAAAUGGUGAUCACUACCAGGAUAACAGCACACUCUUGAUCGAACCAAAAGAGGUGGAAAUGAGGGGAAAUUACGUAAACCCACAUUUUGUUCAGUGGAGAGAUGGCCCUUUUCUUUUUUUUUUUUUUUUUUUGGCCAAACAUUGCAAACGUGGCUUUCGACAGAUGCUUCCAAUUACUUUACAGAACUGCGGUACUGUGAUUGAUGUUUUUCCUGGAACGAAAGAAUUACUCACAGUAAAAUAGACUGGUGCGAAUGACAUGUUAUAAAAGUGAUAAACACCUUUUUUUUUUCCUGCCGUUUGCUACUUGCAUUGCUAGCAGGGUAGUUUAGUUGAUGAGUUUAUCCUUUAAGGUGAUUUUUUUUUUUUAUCACAUAUUACAAUUUCUAAUUGUUCUUUUAAGCAGUUUAGCAGUUUCAGCUAUGUGGAGCCAUGAAAGCUACUGUGAAAUCAAUUUUAGCAUAGUCGCUUACUGUCUGUGCUAACACUGUCGUUCAGGGGCGUCAAACUCGCGUUCACUGUGGGCCACAUUGCCGUUAUGGCCGUCGGUGAAACCAUAUAAAUGGAUAAUCACCUCAUGAAACACAUUUGGUUAUGAUCAUAUUCAUUUGGUAUUGUUUUAACAACAAACAUAAUAUAUAUGUAUAUAUUUUUACAUACACACACAUGCACUUACACACACACAUAUAUAUAUAUAUAUAUACACACACACAUAUACACAAUUUUAAAACAUAAAAAAAAUCAAAAUAAUAAAUGUCUUUUUAAUGUGCAUUAUUUGUAGACAUAUAUAUUUUCACAUCUCGCAAGUAUUUAGUAGUCUACAAUUGUAAAAUACACAAUAAAAUUUAAACUAGGUUUUGCUAUUAUAGCUACUGUAAAAGGAAAGCUCGCUUAGCCUAUCUAGCGGCCAUAAACUUAUCUUAACCCCCCCCAAAAAAGAGUGGAACAUUCUUUCAUACUAGCUAUUGUUAAAAAGCACAAUUUCAAACUUUAAAUUGAUAUUUUUUAUUUUAUUUUUACUUAUUGCAAGUAUUUAUUUGUAGAUUUAAAAAAAAUAUGCUGAACAACAAAGUCCAGAAAUUUUGAACCAGAUUACGCUAUUAAAGCGACUGUGAAAGCAAUGUUAGCCUAGCGUAUCUAGCGCCCAUACAUGUAAGUUUAGCACAACAAUAAGAUUCAAGAGAGUUUUAUUGUCAUGUGCAUGGUAAAACAGCAGUUAUACCAUGCAAUGAAAAUCUUAUUCUGUUCAUUCUCCCAAGGAAAAGAAAGAAAAACACAAGAAAGAAUAAGAACAUAAGAAACAUAAACACAUAUAAUAAUGAUUGAAAAUUGUAGCCAUUCUAAACUAGCCACUGUUAAAAACAAAACAACUGAACAAAAAAGUCCAGAAAUUCUGAACUAGGUUACGCUACUAUGAAAGCAAUGUUAGUUUAGCCUAUUUAGCACCCAUAAACUUACAUUAACACAACCAGAAAAAGGGAGGAACAUUCUUUCAACUACCCACUGUUAAAAAUCCCAAUUCAAACUGAAUAGGAUAUAAUCUUUUAAAAAUGUCAGUAAAAUUAUUAAUGAAAAAAAAAGCUAGCUUUUCCUAGCAGCUAGCCGGCUAACUAAAGAUAGCUCAGAAAUGUAUUUAGCUACAUGACAAACGGCAGUGUGAUUUGACCCGAUAUUAAUCCUACCAUUUUUGCUGAUUUCUCCUUUGUUUUGUUGUUUAUUGCAGGGCGGGAGACAGAAUAUUGCUUGCUGAUGACUCCAAUGAUGAUUGGUGGAAGGGGCUAAUUGAGGACAGGAUUGGCUUCUUCCCGGCAUCCUUCGCGCAUCAGCUCAGGGCGGGAGACCAGGUUUUUCGAUGUAACAGGACGUUUAUCGGCUGCAGGG